GCGAGUGUAGCAUUUGGCGAGAAAAUAUGCAAAAUAGCAGUUUUUCUGCUUGCUGUACCGGUACAGCCAUCAAGGUGUACCGGUACACUUCAUCAAGCUACGCGCGGGUUGCUCUCGGGUUAGCCUUUGUACCGGUACAUCGGCCCGUGUACCGGUACACCAGAAUAGGUAAAGGGGCUUUUUGGUAAUUUCGAGCCUCGUUUGUGUCACCCUCCUCUCCCCAACCUAUAUACCUGUGUAGAGAGAGCUGAGAGGAGAGUUUCUUGCUUACUUCUUCUUCUCUCUCUAGCUUGGAUCGUGAGCACGGUGGAGCUCGGGUGGAGUUCGGGUUUCGUCGACGUCGCGCCGCGGAGCCGUUCGAGGGUACGGUUGCCGCCGUAGCAUCGCAAGGAGGCCGGGCGAGGGUGCGUUUUCGCCGUUCUUGACGCCGCAUCGAAGUUCGAUUAACCUUUGAGGUGAGUGUUCCGUGGCAAUUGCUUCAAGUACUUCAAGCAUCAUCAAAUUCGAGUUAUGUGUUGUUUCGCAAAAUUUCGUCGUCGACCGUCAGUGUUUCGACUCGUACUCGACGUAGGAGCGUCGGAUUUUGACGAGAUUUAGUUCGUUGGAUUCGGGACUUCGAGAGGAAUCCACGAAGCCCUUAUUUGCUGGUGAAGGUUUGCUGGGUCGGAAUUACAGUCUUCUCUGCUGCUGUUUUUGAGGCAGAUUUGAUGCUUAUUGCCGGAUUCUACGUGUAGAGUUGGCGGGAGCUUGACUUCUGGCCUUUGGAGGUUUUCGGUUGAUCCAGCCGGGCAUUCCUUUGCUUCGGGACUUCCUCGCUGCCAGGGAUUAGCUCGCAAGGUGGGUUACAUCGGUUUAUUCCUAAGUAUCGUAUUAGUCGACAUAUAUGAUUUUCAGUUUUGUAUAUCAUGUGUAGCUAAAUUUCGUCGAUUAUAUCUUGAUGAAAUCCGAUUUGAGAACAUGAUUAGUAAACCCUAAAUAUACAUGUUGGACUUGGAUUUGACUUAAGAGAAAACGCGAUAACGAUCGGCACAUAUAAACUACCUGAUUUAGCCCUAGGGGCCGUUGUAUUAUUUUAUACUGUUGCAGUAUCCUCAUAGUGAGUAUUCCAGAUAGUUUAGUUUCAGUUACGCUCGUGCUGGGAUGCCGAGUGUAGUUUUACAGUAGCGUUCAGGCUGUUCCGGACUGUGGGUGCCGUCGGGGUUGACAGUGGACUCGUAUCGCCUUUUUGGCAUCGGAUUGUGCCGAGGGCACGUUACCUAUUGGUUGUUAGACCAGUUUGAGUCGGUUACUGGAUUUUGGCUUUCGAGAGCCUGAUUGAGCUCGACAGAAAUACGCUGCAUACUCGGUUGGGUAGCUCUCACGAGUGCCACUCCGGAGACGGGCGUUGUGCUUUCGCGUUGGUGUCGCUCAUGCCGGUUGGACUUGCUCUCCACGGACUAGUAGUGUGGAGGUAGCUGGAUAGUCACAACUGGGCAGGGACGGGUGUGUUCACAGUCCCAGGGACGGGUAUGCUUACAGUCCCGAUUGGAUUCGGUCAGAUUUGACAUUUCCUACAGUUGGUCAUUUCCUACAGUUGGUUAGUGUAGAGCAUGAUAGUGUAGUGAUCCAUAGCGGUAGAUUUCAUUCCUGCAUUUACUACUAUCUUUGCUCCCUUCUGUAGACUUAGUGGGUGGACCGAUGUUGUUGAGGGCGGCACCCACUGAGGACUACUUGUUUUUACAGUAGUUCUCACGCCCUGUUGUUACCCCCUGUUUUUGCAGAGC
rnacentral:lncRNA from 1 species